UAUGUCAGCGGCAGACGGGUGAGUAACGCGUGGGAACGUACCUUUUGGUUCGGAACAACUGAGGGAAACUUCAGCUAAUACCGGAUAAGCCCUUACGGGGAAAGAUUUAUCGCCGAAAGAUCGGCCCGCGUCUGAUUAGCUAGUUGGUGAGGUAAUGGCUCACCAAGGCGACGAUCAGUAGCUGGUCUGAGAGGAUGAUCAGCCACAUUGGGACUGAGACACGGCCCAAACUCCUACGGGAGGCAGCAGUGGGGAAUAUUGGACAAUGGGCGCAAGCCUGAUCCAGCCAUGCCGCGUGAGUGAUGAAGGCCCUAGGGUUGUAAAGCUCUUUUGUGCGGGAAGAUAAUGACGGUACCGCAAGAAUAAGCCCCGGCUAACUUCGUGCCAGCAGCCGCGGUAAUACGAAGGGGGCUAGCGUUGCUCGGAAUCACUGGGCGUAAAGGGUGCGUAGGCGGGUCUUUAAGUCAGGGGUGAAAUCCUGGAGCUCAACUCCAGAACUGCCUUUGAUACUGAAGAUCUUGAGUUCGGGAGAGGUGAGUGGAACUG
rnacentral:rRNA from 1 species